rnacentral:lncRNA from 10 species
CCUGAGUAGCUGGGAUUAUAGGUGCAUGCCACCAUGCCCAGCUAAAGAGAGGGAGUUUCACCAUGUUGGCCAGGCUGGUCUUAAACUCCUGACCUCAGGUGAUCCACCUGCCUCAGCCUCCCAAAGUGCUGGGAUUAUAGUUGUGAGCCACUGCGCCUGGCCUAUCCUAUAAUUUUCUUCUUCAAUUAUUUUGGUAUCAUGGCUACUCCAUCCUUAUAAUAGAAUUUGGGGAAUGUUUUCUAUAUCCUCAAAUACUUUGUGCAGGAUUGGAAUUUUUUCUUUGAAUAUUCUUAGAACUCAUUGGUAAAACUGCCUGGGUGUUUGCUCUAAAUUUCAUCCAGGGAAUGGGGAAGAACUACCCCUGUAAAAUGGGUUAGAAGAGAGGGAAACAAACAUAAAUUGUCUUUGAUUGCAGCCUUCAAGAACUGCUUGGUCUACAAAACUGACCAGUAUCUAGGUAUAAUGCAAAGAGAAAGGUCUGAAAAGAUGGAAACUAGUAAGAGAUUUCCUUUGGAACGGGGACUUGGACUGGGAUUGAAGAGGCUUUCUUUUGUCUGAAUGGCUGAAAUUUUAUAAAUCAGAAUGUAUUUCUCUAUUAUGUAGUUACUUUUUUUUUAAGAAUAAGAAUUAUUACAGGGAGCCAGGCUCUCUGGAGCACUAGGAAGUUGGGGAGACACCCAGACUUGUUUUCUCUCCCUAUGAGAAUGUAGCUUUGCUGAUACCAAGUUUGACUCAAGAACCAAAAGAACUCCAUGUUUCUGAACAGUGAGACUGCUUGUAACAUUGAAUAAUGUUACAUUUGAGUUCUUCCAGAAUGGGACAUAAACCCGAGGAUAGCAGGGCAAUGGCAGGAAUUGGGCUUUCACCUCUGGCAGGCUCCAUCUUUGAGGAGCAUGACAGUGGGAGCAGCACCCCCUAGAGGACACUUAGGGGCCAGGAACACCCAUGAAGGACUAUUUGCUCAGGGUCACCUAGGCUCCUGCUAAACUAAAUCAAUCAAUUGCUCAAUCAGGAAUUUGUAGCAGAUACUUGUGGUCUCCUCCCACGAUGGAUCACUAAACUUGCAACACUGCCAAUUACAUUUAAACUGCAUUUAUGACUUCAUAAGCAAUUACGUUUCUUCAAAACUAGCUCUCUAGCUGAGAUGAGGCCUAGAGAGUUGAAAAGUUUCCAGUUCCUUAACCCAGAAGAGCUGAAAUUCUACCUGGAUAACACUGAAGAGAUUAAUGCUCUAGCCCCUUUUCUCAUAUCUAAAAGUGAGCACCCCAUCAACCAUGUAGUAUCAAAGGAGUCAACAGACGGGGCAGUGCUCUGUAGAAAUAGUAGGGGAAGAGCUACAAAAAAAUUCCAAUAGAGCAAUUUUCACACUCAAACUAUAGUAGUCACAAUUAUAUACUAUUUCCAUCCCUCCUUCUUCACUAACGAGUCUCAUUUUAUCUGGAGAAACACUCUUCCCUAGACUCUCUUGCAGCUAUGAGGUGCCAAAUGACAGUUCUGGCCAGUGGGACAGAAGUUGAGGGUUUCUGGGAAAAUUUGUGUUCUCUCGAUAUAAGCACUACUCCCUUGUGCUUUCCACGUUGCCUUUUGCCAUCUCUCUUUCUCCUGCUUGACACCCGGACAAGAGGUUGGAGGUGCACCAGCCAUCUAGUAUCUAUGUUGCAACAGGCAUUAAGGAUACAGGCCUACAUGCUAAGAAUGAUAGAGUGACAACGUGGAGUCCCAAGUGCUGGUGGGGUUGCUGGACUCCCUGGUUGUCCCAGGACAACCCCAGACUGACAAACACUGAACUUCCUGUUACAUUAAAGGUACUAACACUUUGGAACCUGUGGUUUACAAACUUAUUUCUAAUAGAUACAUAAAACAAUUCUUGGCUGGGUGUGGUCGCUCAUACCUGUAAUCCUAGCACUUUGGGAGGCCGAGGCGGGAGGAUCACUUGAGUUCAGGAGUUUGAGACCAGCCUGGGCAACAUAGUGAGACCUUGUCUCUAUUUAAAACAACAAACAAACAAAAACUUCAAAAACCAAUUCUUGAAUUAAAUUUUUUUCUUUGCAAUCUCUCUUCAGGAAAGUGAUUAUCCAAACUACAAUGCACAGUCUCAUAUUGCCAGCUAUGCAAUACUGUAAAAUACACAAUUUCACAAUGUGUGGCCAAAUAGGGAUGUACUGGGGGCCUUCUUUGUGUAAAGCUCUGUAACAGCUGGGUGUGGUGGCUCACGCCUGUAAUCCCAGCAUUUUGGGAGGCUGAGGUGGUGGAUCACUUGAGGUCAGGAGUUCAAGACCAGCCUGGCCAACAAGGUGAAACCUUGCUUCUACUUAAAAUACAGAAAUUAGCUGGGUGUGGUGGCUCACUCCUGUAGUCUCAGCUACCUGGGAGGCCGAGGUAGGAGAAUUGUUUGAAUCCGGGAGGCGGAGGUUGCAGUGAGCAGAGAUCAUGCCACUGCGUUCCAGCCUGGGUGACAGAGUGAGACUCUGUCUCAAAAAACAACAAACAAAAACUUCAAGAACCAAUUCUCAAAUUAAACUUUUUUAUCUGCAAUAUCCCUUCAGGGAAGUGAUUAUCCAAACUACAAUGCACAGUCUCAUAUUGCCAACUAUGCAAUACUGUAAAAUACACAAUUUCACACUGUGUGACCAAAUAGGGAUGUACUGGGGGCCUUCUUUGUGUAAAGCUGUGGAACAGCCAGACGUGGUGGCUCACGCCUGUAAUCCCAGUACUUUGGGAGGCUGAGGCGGGUGGAUCACUUGAGGUCAAGAGUUCAACACCAGCCUGGCCAACAUGGUGAAACCCCGCCUCUACUUAAAAUACAAAAAAUUAGCUGGGCGGUAAUGGCACGUGCCUGUAGUCCCAACUACUCAGAGGCUGAGGCAGGAGAAUCGCUUGAAUCCAGGAGGCAGAGAUUGCAGAGAGCCGAGAUUGUGCCACUGCACUCCAGCCUGGGCGACAGAGUGAGAUCCUGUGUUAGAAAAAAAAAAAAAAAAGCUGUGUAAUAUUUGCAGCAUAAUUUCCAUAAUGCAUCCAUUUUUUAAAUACGAGAGAUGGGAGAAAAGUGCAAAUAGCUCUGUGCAGCAUCCUGUUACUUCUGCAUCUGCUCCCGCAAUAUCAGAGGGGAAAAAAGCAAUGAGAGGAGACUACAUUUAUCAAAUGUUGACUUUGUGCUAGACAUCAUUCUAAAUAUUUUAUUUGAAAUGAAUGAAUUUAACCCUGAAAACCCCCUAUGAUGUAGGCCCUUGUAUUAUCACUCAAAACAAAGCACAGAAACAAGCCCACCAAUUCACAUUAACCGUUUUUGUGCACAUUCUACUAGAGAGGGCUGUUACUAACUUCAAAAAGCGUAAGGAGUCCUCCCCCUAGCAGCAAAUCUCAAAAUUAAACACAGUUUCAUUUAAAAGAAACUCACAAGUUCAAAUGUGACUCUAAGAUGAAACUAAGUAAAAAUAAGCUUUCAUACAGUUCUGUGUCUUGCUUAGUGACUGGAUGGGGAACGUGCAGCAACAAACACUCGUGCACUCAGACCCAUGAUAACACCUUGACCAGCUGUGCUUUGUCAUAAAAAAAAGACACUACGGAAAUGGGACAGAGCAGGCGCAUAAUGGAACACCGUUUAUCCGUGGUAAAAUACGCAGGGCUGAAGGGAAGUGGAAAAGUAUUUGCUGACAAUGCAAGUUAUAUGAAAGUAGCUGAUCCACAUAUCCAACAGUCCAUGGCCAAAGGUCACUUUCAAUGACACCACAGUCUUACGGCAUGCUCCAAUAGAGCAUGAACAGAUGAACAAAUGAGAUGGUCAUUUACACUCCUACAGCACCAAGAGUGUGAACAAAACAGUGACAGUAUCUAUACUAAAACCUCAAAUGAUUAAGAUUUUUAGUUUACUGAAAAACAGCUCAACAAAGAUACUAGCAGCAAAUCGUAAAGUGUACUAAAAUGUAAGGAAUAUUGAAUGUGACUAAGAUGUCUUCUAGUUUCAAUCCUGAAACUCCUUAAAGAUUUUACUGACAAUAUAUUAAAGCAAUCACAGUUGGAUUGUACUGUUAGAUAUUACUUAAUUUUAUGGCCGUGAUCAACUAGGUUUUGAAAAUGGUACACUUCUAUUUUAUUGAGACGGAGUCUCAAAAAGCUGUAGUGCAAUGGUGUGAUUUUGGCUCACUGCAAUCUCUGCCUCCCGGGUUCAAGCGAUUCUCCUGCCUCAGCCUCUUGAGUAGCUGGGAUUACAGGCGCCCGCCACCAUGCCCGGCUCAUUUUCUAUUUUAAGUAGAGACGGGGUUUCACCAUGUUGGCCAGGCUGGUCUUAAAACUCCUGCCCUCAGGUGAUAGAUACACCCACCUCGGCCUCCCAAAGUGCUGGGAUUACAGGUGUGAGCCACUGCGCCUGGCCCUAUACUUCUAUUUUAAAUAUAGAAGUCAAAGUGAAGUAGUUUAUUAAGAAUUGGAGGAAAAUAGUUUUUUGGCAACGCGUUGAUGAUGCUGUGCUGUACAUACCUACAGGUCUAAGAAUGAAAAACAGAAAUGUAUGGCACUGUCACUCUAUCUGGCACUGUCACUCUAUCUGGCCUGUUACAGCACUACGAGGGUGAGACGUUUGCAUCUGCUCCAGAGCAAACUGGGACGGAUGAACGAGGGAAUGCAACGGGCACCUUCUAACAACUAUCCAGAGAUGACGUAUCCACGGGCGUCAUUCCUUUCAAGAUCAGG